GGGGAUGAAAGUUUAGACAAUUUUCUUUUUAAAAAUUAGGCAGAUCCAGUUCAGAAUCUGGUAAAACUUCUGGAAAUCUUAAUAGGUGCCAACUUAUUCAAGAAACCUGCAUUAGCAUUUGCUUAAUGCCAUCUCCUCCGAUGAUUCUCGAUAAGCGGGCCGGAGGUGUCAUAUUUUCGAGAUAGGCAGUUUCAUUUUCCUCAUGAAAUUGUCCGAACAUUCAGAGGAAUAGGUUGCUGGAACUUUGCUUGUUUUUCAUUCAGCAUCCCAAACAUAAAACAAGCUAAAUCUGUAGAUUAAUUUUUAAAAGUUUUUUGGACGGGAGCUCAUCCUCCCCAUCUCCACCA
rnacentral:tmRNA from 1 species